AUCUAAUCCUUGGUCUAUAAGUAUGUAGGCUAUGGAUGACACCCAAUGUAACUAAGAACCAACUCGCAACUGUACACAUUUGCAACCAUAUUGUCAAUGCAAGACCAAUUCUUUUACGCCUCUCACUUUGUACUAUUAAAGGCAGACGAGCCAUUACUGCAAGAUAUUAAAGUGUUACAUAUCUUUAAAUUGUAGUAAAAGGGUCAC
rnacentral:lncRNA from 1 species